AAAGAGAAGAAAUAAUUGAUGCUGGGAUGCAAAAUCCCCUCAAGUGAAGGCAUUGCACACUGGGAAAAUUACAUGUCCUGCCCUGCGGCCUUGCUGUGACCGCACGCUGCCUUGACAGUGAUCACUGGCUGGAACGAUGUGCUUCGCCAAGGUUGUCUUUAUUUAGACAAGGCUGCUGCUUUCUGAACUGCUUGCGGGAACAGAGGGGUCAUGCAGUAACCACUCUGCACCUCCUGUGUCAGAGGACUGUGGCGCACUCAGGGGAACACGCCUUUGGUAUUUUUCUAUGUUCUAACAGGGAAAACGGGGUAUUUGGAAUAAAGCAGCAAUGAAACAGAC
rnacentral:lncRNA from 1 species